CUGUUUACAUGAGGAUAGGAGGCCAUUUUGGCUGUUGUUUUUGUAGUUUCUGCUUGUUCCAAGCAUUGCACGUGCCUUGUGGGUACACUCCUGCACCAUAUUCUCUUACCACAUCCACGUUCAAUCAUUCACUUAAUAAAAGUGACCCACUUUGACAGUGUUGAUUACUGAAUUGAUAGACUAUCUGCACAGAGGCAGAAUAGUAAGAGAAUAUGACCAGGAUCAAAGACUGAGAUCAUUUCAACAGUCUCGAUUGAAGUCAGCAUUUCGCAAAUUCUAUGGUCGUUAUAACGAUCUAGUUCGUCAAUACAAUCUAUCAUUGGGCCAAAUGCUGUCUGAAAUGUUUCAUACCGAUUGUCAAGCCGUUCUUGGCACACUGAUUUUGACUGCAGAUAACUCCGUUUACCUGAACAGGAUAUAGGACUAACGGCGGGUGUGACCGGUCGACAGGGGAUGCUUACUCCUCCUAGAUACCUGAUCCCACCUAUGGUGUGUCCAGGGGUCUGUGUUUGCCCAAUAUCUAUUUUGUAUUGCUUGUAGGAGUUAUGAGAUUGAUCCCUCUUCAUUAUCUUCACCUUUCAACAACGUAGUUGCCAAAAUGAAGGUCGUAGAAUUCGAUUCUGGUGUUAUUUUUAAUGUACAGCGAAAAAUUGAUUAAUUGGAAAAUUCUCAAAAUGGCGUCGCUAGGCACAAGGAAAACGGAAACUUUCUAGAAAUAUGAGAGAAUAUAAGACUCUCUUAUGAGUAGCCAUGAAAUAUUAAGGUGAUUCCACCCUCGGGGUUGCAAAAAAGCGGUAAAACCCUCGGCACAGCCCCGGGUUUCACAGCUUUUUUGCAACCCUCGGGUGGAAUCACCUUAUCUUUCAUAACUACUCAUAAGAGAGUCUUAUAAUCAACCCGCCUCCACGAAACCACGUAGAUUCCAAAAGAUUGCCAUUGGUAACAACCCAUAUCCCCAAAAACCUGAAUAUGACUCCUGUGGUUCAUCAACUUAAUAGUAUUCUGAAAUCAGAUGAAAAAAUGACACAUGUCCUCCGAAAUUGCAAAUUUAUUAACAGUAAAAGAAAACCAAAAAACCUCCGUAGAAGACUAUGUCCAUCCAAAUUUCAUAGAAAAUCUGAUUCCGGAGUCAACAGAUGCAAAUAUCCCCGGUGUGGAACUUGUCCAUAUAUAAAGGAGGGACAAACUUUCAAUUUCAACGGAAAAGAAUUCACAGUAAAUGCUGUUAUGUCUUGUGGUUCUAAGAAUUUAAUAUAUGUUAUUACAUGUAGUGGAUGUAAAUAAAUUUAUAUCAGAG